CCCUUUCUCAGCUUGAGCUCAUUCUUCCAUCAAAGAGAAGAGAAGAGAAAAAUGAAUGUUUUGGAGGUGGAGGAAGAUGGAGGAAACAGAAAAGGGAAAAGCUGCAGUAAUAUCUGGGAUCUUUUAGGAGUUUGGUGGAUUUUUUUUGCUCACAUACAGGGUUAAUAAUCCCCAGUUUUAUUCCUCUUUUGACUGCUGGGUUUGGGUGCUGCUCCUCACUCCAGACUGACAGCAGACACCGAUCCUGCCAUUCUCCUGGAGACAUUUGCAGGCAUUGCACCCAUGGCCAGAACCUAAUCCUGGAUGCCUCCAACUCCUGCCAAGAGCCUGGUCUGCUCCAGCCUUAAAAGGUGGUGAAAGGACACCGCCAGCCAGUGACAGAUCCUCAGCUGACAACAGCUCUGUUCAAACCAAAGGAAUUCUUUGCAGUAGGAUCCAAAGGACAGCACAUUCAUUUGCUAAACUCCUAAUUUUUUUUUUUGUUGUGGAAUGUAACUUCAGGACUUGGCUGACUUUUAAACAUGAUAUAAUUAAGCAUGCCUGAAAAUGAAUUUAUAAAAAAAAACAAAACACAAAAGUAGAGGUACUUUAUAAUCCACAGUGUUAAGUCUCUUCAAAAUUCCUUGGAUAGUUACACUGCUGCUUUAGUCAGGGUGACACAGCACAGUCCUAAUACCUAAUCCCAAGUGACUCUUCACACAGUGACUCAGUUACCAGAGCUGUUUGGUUCCUAUCUGGUUAUCUUUAAUACCUUGAUCCAUACAUCUCCUGUCUGCUUUGCCAGGAGGGUUAUUCCACUGAUUUUCAAGACUACAAAAUGGGAAAAUCCUCAUUCUACAUCUGUUUAUUAAUCCUAAAAAUAUUUGACAUCUUUUUUCUACCCAGCUGUGUUUCCUUGUCCAUGAUGUCCUGACUGAACAAUUGCAGAAGAAAAAAUCCUUCCUUCAACUGCUUCUAAAUUUUUUUGACAAGUUGGAAACUCCAGAUUUCCAUUUUCAUUGGUGGUCAAAGGAAAUAGCAGCAGUCAGAUAAUGUAUUUCAAGUGUAUUUAUUCCAAAUGUGUCUAUUAUGUCAAGUCUUACAUAAAUUUUUAUAUAACAAGCCUUGAACAUCUGUAAAAACAAGGAAACUGACAUCAACAACUUUGGGCUUUGUCCUUCAGAGUGAGAAGAAAUAAGAAGUGAAGAGUGAAUUCAUAGUUGAAUAAACCAUCAGAUCCUGAGAGCCCUUAGGCAGAAGCAGAGUGUGAAUUUGAUAGGAAUUCUGAUUUUUUUGAACUUAUGGGUGGGAGGUUCGUGGCAGGACAAAGCAUCUUCUGUGUUGGGAUCUCUUUGGAUGUGUCCCCAUAGGUAAGUUAAUUAUAAUUUUGGAAGGAUUUGAGGUUCAUCUGUAGGGAAUUCGGUAAAAGGGCCAAACAGGUUUGAAGCAUGGUGGUAGCUUUCAGUGGAAGUUUUUAACACAUUAGGGAAAACAUUGAGAAGUUGUUUUUUUGUUGAGGAAUUACCUCAACAAGGAUGGAGCUUGUUCUGAGGCAGAAGUAGAAGAAGUUUUGAGCUGUUGAAAACUUCACUAAACCUAGCAUUCCAGCUUUCAGCAGACCUUAAGUGAAGGCUAAAAGAAUCUAAGUUUUACUUGACAAGGCAAAGAUUGUUGCUAUCAAUAGAGAUGCAAUGCAUUUACAGUUUUCUUAUACUGGCAAUUUAUGGAUUGGUAGAGGCAAGUGAGACUGAUCCAAAUUGCAUCUCAAAGACUUUUUGUAUUCCUGCAUGGAAUUUUUAACAAAAAGGAAACAUUGUUAUGGGGAAAAAAGGUCUCCCCUAAAAACCGUUUGGUGUAAUCAUCUUGUAAUUUAGAGGAAGAGAAAAUAUUUGAAUGGGAAGGCUGGGACCUGCUGGGUUACUGCUGUGGACCUUUCUGGCUGGAGAGAAAAAAAAUGAGUCUAUAGAAUUCAUCUAGGCUGUAUGAAUUGGUAAAAUGUAUUGAUUGAUCCAAAAUGACCCAAAUCAAACAAUGUACUUUUCAAUGCAAGAUCAAAUAGCAAGAAAGAUGAGGAAGCACUGAUGGGCUCCAGGAGGUUGUAAUUUAGAUAUAUUUUUCUAAAAGGAGGCAUUGAAUUUGAAGGGAUUUUUGAAUUUGAAGGGAUGUUUGUGUCCUUCCUUUUGCUGUCCCCCAGACACGGAGGGAUUUGGAGCAAAUAAGGGAUAUUCUCUCCACUAAUGGAGCUGCGAUUAUCCUUGUUGGGAGGCAGGACUCAGGCGUGGUCUACACACACUAUGAGGGGGCAUAAGUGCAUCAAAAGUGUGGGUUCAGCAAACACCUGCAAAUGAGAUGGAGUCAGGAGCCCAAAAGGAAGCUCUGGAGGGUAAUUUGACUCUGGAAUCUCAAUGUCAACACCUGCACCAGCUACCAGAGGCAUCUUUGCUCUAAUAGACCCAGCACUUCCCACUGAACUCCUAGAACAGAGAGCUUCUAACAGGAGCACUUGAUUGGGCUGAAGUAUGAUAAAUUCCCAAGGAAAAUAAGAUGCUGGCAGUGAGAGCAGUUAACUGCUGGAGCAGCCUCUCCUGAAUCCCUGAGGACAGUUUGCCUCUUAAUUUACAACGAAAGGGCUCUCUGGAAGGUUCCCUCCUGUUCAGCCACUGCUAUGGAACAGGCUCCAAGUCUCUGAAGGAAGUGGAAAUCCUUCUACUGCUACCCAUGGGAGCUGGAACUCCAUGAUCCUCCUGGCCAGCACAGCCAUCUCCAGGCUUGGCUCCCUCUGCAGGGAAUGCAUUCAGGCACAAACCCACACUCCUCUUCACAAAUGCCUUUGGUCCUGAGAGUGUGAGCACCCUGGAUGCUUACUGGGAUUGGGAACUUGUCUCCAGCCAGGAGAAAAUACAUCCAGCCAUGUGAAGUCAUGCUUGGAAUUCCAGCACCACUUUUACACUCACUGUGCCUCAGCCUGGCUUUGAGACAAGUGUUUUAAGUUCCUCUUCUAAAAUUGGAGGGGUUUUCCUUCCUUUGGGAUGAAUUCUGCUGAAGAUAAUAAAAGCUUUCUGAAAUUUCA